rnacentral:rRNA from 1 species
AGAGUUUGAUCCUGGCUCAGGACGAACGCUGGCGGCGUGCCUAAUACAUGCAAGUCGAGCGCGGGAAGCGAGUGGAUCCCUUCGGGGUGAAGCUCGUGGAACAAGCGGCGGACGGGUGAGUAACACGUGGGCAACCUGCCUGUAAGAUCGGAAUAACCCCGGGAAACCGGGGCUAAUGCCGGGUAAUACUUUCUUUCGCAUGAAGGAAAGUUGAAAGAUGGCUUCUUGCUAUCACUUACAGAUGGGCCCGCGGCGCAUUAGCUAGUUGGUGAGGUAACGGCUCACCAAGGCGACGAUGCGUAGCCGACCUGAGAGGGUGAUCGGCCACACUGGGACUGAGACACGGCCCAGACUCCUACGGGAGGCAGCAGUAGGGAAUCUUCCGCAAUGGACGAAAGUCUGACGGAGCAACGCCGCGUGAACGAUGAAGGUCUUCGGAUCGUAAAGUUCUGUUGUUAGGGAAGAACAAGUACCGUGCGAAUAGAGCGGUACCUUGACGGUACCUAACGAGGAAGCCCCGGCUAACUACGUGCCAGCAGCCGCGGUAAUACGUAGGUGGCAAGCGUUGUCCGGAAUUAUUGGGCGUAAAGCGCGCGCAGGCGGCCUCUUAAGUCUGAUGUGAAAGCCCCCGGCUCAACCGGGGAGGGCCAUUGGAAACUGGGAGGCUUGAGUAUAGGAGAGAAGAGUGGAAUUCCACGUGUAGCGGUGAAAUGCGUAGAGAUGUGGAGGAACACCAGUGGCGAAGGCGACUCUUUGGCCUAUAACUGACGCUGAGGCGCGAAAGCGUGGGGAGCAAACAGGAUUAGAUACCCUGGUAGUCCACGCCGUAAACGAUGAGUGCUAGGUGUUGGAGGGUUUCCGCCCUUCAGUGCUGAAGCUAACGCAUUAAGCACUCCGCCUGGGGGAGUACGGUCGCAAGGCUGAAACUCAAAGGAAAUUGACGGGGACCCCGCACAAGCGGGUGGGAGCAUGGUGGGUUUUAAAUUCGAAAGCAACGGCGGAGAACCUUUACUCAACUCUUGGACAUUCCUCCUGAACCGGUUACAGAAGAAUGUUAACCUUUCCCCCC